rnacentral:rRNA from 1 species
UUYUUUUWGGKUWAAWUWAARGUAUAUUYUGCCCUAUGAUAAAUUAAAUGGCUGCAGUAUCUUGACUGUACAAAGGUAGCAUAAUAAUUAGUCUUUUAAUUUAGGACUUGUADGAAUGAAUUUAUGAGAUAUUAAUUUUAUUAAUUUUAGUAUUAAAACUUAAUUUUUAAGUAAAAAAGCUUAAUUUUUUUUUUGGGACGAUAAGACCCUAUAGAACUUGAAUUUAAUUUUAAUUUUAARAAUUUUAGUUUAAUAUUAUUUAUUUUAAAAAUAAAUUUUAAUUGGGGKGAUUAAUAAAUUUGACUUUAUUUUUUUUUUUCAUUAUAAAUGUUCAUUUGAUCCAAAUAUUUGAUUUUAAGAUAAAGUUACCUUAGGGAUAACAGCGUAAUUUUAAUGGGGAGUUCAUAUUUAUAUUAAAGUUUGCGACCUCGAUGUUGAAUUAAAAUUAUGGUUUGGGGCAGUUUUAAACUAUUAAGUCUGU